GUCAUAUAGCGUUGAAACUACGGAUCCGGUACGAUCAGCGGUUAAGCCAAGUCGAGCCUAGUCAGUACUUAGAUGGGUGACCGCUUGGGAAUACCAGGUGCU